rnacentral:lncRNA from 10 species
GGUGCGUCGUCGAGAGGUGCUGCGGGCGGUGUGCAAAGGAGGGCGGUGCGCGUCAGCCGUCACCCAAUAGUCGCACACCCUGGGCGGCGGCCCCGCCUCCGACGGGAGAGCCUAGACGACUGGUCGGUGCCGUGGUGGCUCAAGGUUGACCUUGUACGGGUUCAUCUCACCACCAUGCUGACUUUCUUCCUAAUAGUAACCAAACCUGGCAGGAUUCUGAUUAGCUGCUGGGCAUCUCACUGCCUGGAAGGCAGGCGCCCGGGGCCAGGGCCGGGGCCUCAGCUCUUCUGCCUCCACUGACGCACAGCAGGUGCUCAGCAAAUGCCUUGAGAUGAUCAGGACUAGAGAUGGGGACCGGAGCGACUACUCACAAACCUGGAGGCCCUGGGCUCCCCAACCACCUGUUCACGAGAGAGCCCAAUCUGGAGGGUGUGGCUUCCCUCCAACCAGACAACUAGCCCUGACAGGGAUGGCUGGGAGCUGCCCGUUCUCGUUAGCCCUCACCUUGCUCACUGCCCUGACCCCAGAGGGAAGCCAGGCAGAGGCCGUGGAGCUGCCACGGUGCGGGAGCCACCGCCAACCACCCAGCGGCAAAACUCCGGGUCAGGAAACAGCCACAAUCCUGAGGGCUGCACCCGGAGGAAGGAGCAGACAGGAUAUUGCUGCAUGAUUUUAUUACUAUAAAUAUACAGUAAAAACGAACCAACGAUGAGCCCAUCUGAGCACAUCAGACGGCAGCACAUGGGAGUCCCAG